AACACCUACAAGUAGUUAAGAUUCCUCAGUAUCCCUAUUUUAAAAAAUAAAACCAAACACCAAAAACACACAACAAGGCAACUGAUCAGUUAUGAUCCAUAUUCAUAAACAAAAAUACCUUGUGUCCUCUCUUUUUCAGUUCUGGCAGCAUCCGGUCCAAAAGUAGAAAUUUGCCUGAAUUCUUCACUAGAUCUUCAUCAACCUUAAAAAAGAGUAAAAAGGAGAAGUCAAGAUUUACAAUCUCUCAGAUGCAUCAACAUUCAGGACCUUGCUGAUGAGUGGAAUCGGAGGGAACGCAUACAUCAGGCUCCCUGACCAGGACAGGAGGAAGGCAUCGGAGAGGAAGUCCUUGCCCAGACCCGCUGAGAACAAAACCGAUGACAUUCCCGGUUUUGCCUGGUGGCAAACAGGCCCACAUGGGGAGUUCCCCACCUCUGGAAAAUCAUGCAGGCUACCUCUGGGUGGAAUGACCACUCGUAGUGAGAGGGUAAGUCUCUGCUGAGGUGAUCCACGAGCGUGUUCUUGACACCAGGGAGGUGACAUGCUUCCAAGUGGAUUUCAUGGCUGAUGCAGAAGUCCUAGAGAUGGAUUGCCUCUUGGCUGAGAGCCGACGAGAGCGCUCACCCUUGCCUGUUGAUGUAGAAAAUCAAGACUGUGUUGUCCAUCAGGACUCUCACCACGUUGCCCAACAGGUGAGGUAGGAACCAUCUGCAUGCCAAGUGGACCGCUCUGAGUUCUUUGAUGUUUAUGUGACACAUCCUCUCCUGUUGGGACCACAUACCCUGGGUGUGGAGAGUGCUGAGGUGCGCACCUCAGCCAAGGUGUCAGAAACUAACUCGAUGGAGUGAGGGGGGGUGUCGAAUGGAACUCCCUCUAGGACUGUCCUGCGAUCGAUCCACCAUCACAGCUAGGUAAGAUUGUUGGGGGUUGGUAAGGAUCUUUUCCAGGUGAUCCCUGGACUGGGAAUAGACCGUUGCCAGCCAUGUGGACCCCAAGACGCAGGCAAACCCUGGCCAUAGUCAGGGGGAAUGUGGAGACUUCCGCGAUGAGGUCUGCCAAUGUCUGGAACCUUUCUAGUGGCAGAAAUGCUCUGGCACAGGUCGAGUCAAGCACCGCUCCAAUGAACUCUAUCCGCUGCACCGGAACUAGCAUAGACUUUUUGUCAUUCACCAGUAGUCCCAGGGAGAGGCACGUGGCUUGCAGCGCUGCAACAUCCUUUUGGACCUGAGACCUGGAGCUGCCUUUGACUAGCCAGUCGUUAAGGUACAGGUAGAUCUGGAUACCCCGAUGCCUGAGGUAAGCAGCCACCACCGAUAUGCACUUGGUAAACACCCUCAGUGCUGUUGCCAGGCCAAACAGGAGGACUGCAAACUGGUACUGGUCAGGUCCCCACCAUAAAUUGGAGGAAGCGUCUGUGUCCUUGAAAGAUCGCUAUGUGGAAGUAUGUGUCCUUCAAGUCGAAGGCGGCAUACCAGUCUCCCAGAUCCAGGGAAGGGAUGAUAGAGGCCAGGGAGACCACAUGGAGCCUCAGCUUCUUUAGGUACUUCUUGAGGUCUCGCAGGUCUAGGAUGGGCCAUAGACCGCUCUUGGCCUUUUGGAUUAAAAAGUACUGGGCACAGAACUCCUUGUUUCUGUACUCGAGAGGAAUCUCCUCCACCACACCCAGCUGCAGUAACCCUUUUAUCUCCUGCGCAAGGAGACUCUCGUAAGGGUCUCUGAAGAGGGACAGGGAAAGUGGGUGAAAAAGGGGGGCAGAAAGAAACUGGAGGGUAUAACCCUGUGCCAGUGUUGAGGACCUAGCGAUCUGAAGUUAUAGCGGUCCAUGCAGGAAGGAAAAAGGAAAGGUGGUUGGAAAAAACUGGGGAAGAUGGAUCCAGGGAAUAGUCUGGUAGUUCACCCUUGAGUGCACCCUCAAACUGAUCAGUUGGCCCCCUGCUUGUUUCAGGUUGAGCUCGACUGCGCAGAGGGUGGAAGCGGGUGGCUCGGAUGACAUUUGUAGCCCUGGGCUUUCUUGUGAGGCAGGUCCUGCUGAGGCAGACUCGCCGGCCCUGAGGCUGUUGUGGUUUGAACCACGUAUGCGCCAGGCCUGGGAUGUAAAGGCCCAGAGUUUUGAGGGUGGUAUGGUAGUCCUUUAAACCAUGCAGCUUGCUGUCUGUUUGCUUUGCCAAUAGGGCCCAGCUGUUGAAGGGAAGGUCCUGCAUAGACUGCUGAGCCUUGGCAGACAAGCUAGAGAGGAGCAACCAGGAGGCUUGCCACAUGGAGAUGGCGGAGCCAUGGUGUGAGCAGCAGGAUCUGCUGCAUCUGACGCUGCCUGGAGGGCCGCCCUGGCCGCGGUCAUACCUUCGUCAAUAACCGCUUGGAAUUCCAUCCUGGACCCCUCAGGAAGCAAACACUCGAACUUGGCCAUGGCUUGCUACAUGUUAAAGUCAUAUCGACCAAGGAGAGCCUGGUGUUUGGCCACUCUUAACUGAAGGCUGGAAGAUGAAUAAACUUUACGUUCAAA